AGUUGGUGACUGCUCGAAGGGGUGGGAGGAACAGUAUAAAGUCCUGUCCCCUUCCUGCCUUCAAGGGCACCCCUGAAGGACCAUAUCCACUGUGGACCCCCUUGGGAUCAGCCGAGGUCUGUAGAGGUGACAUUGCAGCCCAGCACCUCCCUCCUCCGCCCUGCCCUCCUCUGUCCUCCUUCCACAGGUGUGGCCAAGGGCACUGCCCAGUUGGCCUGUGACCCCCAGCUGAGGCUGCUUCCUGGGCAGCUGACUUCAAGUUUGUGACCUGAGCUCUCCAGGCCCCCGAGCGGCUGGUGCCUUGGCCCUGCAGUUCUGCGGCCAAGACUCCUCCUCUGGGAUCUCGUCUUACCCUGCUGCGGGUGCCAGGGCUGCAUGAAGCAAGGGCGAAAGUCCCCUUCGCCCGGGCGCUGCCCUCUGCCUGCUGUCCCCUGUGCUCCUGUUCCCCGUGGCUGCCCAGGGACAGCUUUUCACACUCUCUGUUGCCCUUGUCCUUGGGCAUCUCAGUGACUCGAAGGAAUUGGGUCUUGAGACACAGCCGAGCCUGUGAGCGCUGACCUGUGUAAAGAAGACACCAGAAUGAGAUGUCUCCACACACAGAGAGCUGCAGCCGAUGCCGGCCGGUGACUUGGGACUUGGAUGCUUAACAGGAGGCUCCCCCUCUCUUGGGAGGUAGAGAGCAGUGAGGAAGGGGACUCAGCCUCCAUGCCUCCCGCCAGCCCAGCUGCGCCCGAAUCACCUCCCUCCUGAAAGGAUGUCAGCCUCUGCUUGGACACCGUGGAGACAGGGCCCUCCUUGUGCUUCAGAAGCAUCAACGUGUCAGAAAAUCAUCUUCACGCCAAGUCUGGAAAAAAUGGCUUUGAGGUUGUGCACACAAAGGAAGGAGGGAGAGCCCCAGGUGUCGCGGAGGACCAUGCGGCUGACAGAGCCAGCAGGGCGGUGGCGUGUGAGCCGUGCUCUGGAUAUAUAAGGAUCUGACGCUGCUGGCAAUGUCUGAGCUCUAUGCUCGCCCAUCUGUCGGCUGCUAUCAUCACCGGGUGGGAUUAGCGGAGAUCCACUCUUUCAUAUUUAAAUCUUCACAAGAGAAUGAAUCACUUUUAUAAUAAAAGAAAAAGACCGUC
ensembl:lncRNA LINC00659 long intergenic non-protein coding RNA 659